CCUUACCUACCCUUGACAUGUUCAGAAUCCUGAAGAGAUUUGGGAGUGCCCGAAAGGGAGCUGGAACACAGGUGCUGCAUGGCUGUCGUCAGCUCGUGUCGUGAGAUGUUGGGUUAAGUCCCGCAACGAGCGCAACCCUUGUCGUUAAUUGCCAUCAUUUAGUUGGGCACUUUAGCGAGACUGCCGGUGACAAACCGGAGGAAGGUGGGGAUGACGUCAAGUCCUCAUGGCCCUUAUGGGUAGGGCUUCACACGUCAUACAAUGGUCGGUACAGAGGGUUGCCAAGCCGCGAGGUGGAGCCAAUCCCAGAAAGCCGAUCGUAGUCCGGAUCGUAGGCUGCAACUCGCCUGCGUGAAGUCGGAAUCGCUAGUAAUCGCGGAUCAGCAUGUCGCGGUGAAUACGUUCCCGGGUCUUGUACACACCGCCCGUCACACCAUGGGAGCGGGUUCCGCCAGAAGUGGGUAGCCUAACCGCAAGGAGGGCGCUUACCACGGCGGGGUUCGUGACUGGGGUGAAGUCGUAACAAGGUAGCCGUAUCGGAAGGUGCGGCUGGAU
rnacentral:rRNA from 1 species